CCCCAGCCCAGGGAUUUCCAGGUGUCCACAUUCACUGAUCAGGACAGAACACAGAGAACUCACCAUGGAAUUCGUGCUAGGCUGGGUUUUUCUUGUUGCCUUUUUAAAAGGUGUCCUGUGUGAGGUGCAGCUGGUGGAGUCUGGGGGAGACCUGGUGAAGCCUGGGGGUUCCCUGAGAAUCUCCUGUGCAGCCUCUGGAUUCACCUUCAGUAGCUACUGGAUGAGCUGGGUCCGCCAGGCUCCAGGGAAGGGGCUGCAGUGGGUUGCAUUGAUUAAUACUGGUGGAAGUAGCACAUACUAUGCAGACUCUGUGAAGGGCCGAUUCACCAUCUCCAGAGACAACAGCAAGAACACGCUGUAUCUGCAGAUGAACAGCCUUAGAGCCGAGGACACAGCUGUGUACUACUGUGCGAGAGACACAGUGAUAAUACCAGGAGCAGGUGCAGAUGGAGUCUAUGGCAUAUUUCCUGUUAGGGUCUGGGGUUUCCUCUCCAUAGUGCAGUUUCCCCAAGGGAGCCUCCUUGACAUUAUUAUGUGCUUGUAUAUUCACUCUGAGACUUAG